UGUGUUUGUGUAGUGUGUGUGUAUAUAAUGCAGUGUGUGUGUAGUGUGCAUUAUAUAAACACACUGCAUUAUAUACACACACACUACACAAACAC